rnacentral:rRNA from 1 species
CCCCGGGCUCAACCUGGGAACUGCGUUNUGAACUGGGUAGCUAGAGUAUGUCAGAGGGGGGUAGAAUUCCACGUGUAGCAGUGAAAUGCGUAGAGGUGUGGAGGAAUACCGAUGGCGAAGGCAGCCCCCUGGGAUAAUACUGACGUUCAUGCUCGAAAGCGUGGGUAGCAAACAGGAUUAGAUACCCUGGUAGUCCACGCCCUAAACGAUGUCGAUUAGCUGUUGGGCAACUUGAUUGCUUAGUAGCGUAGCUAACGCGUGAAAUCGACCGCCUGGGGAGUACGGUCGCAAGAUUAAAACUCAAAGGAAUUGACGGGGACCCGCACAAGCGGUGGAUGAUGUGGAUUAAUUNGAUGCAACGCGAAGAACCUUACCUGGUCUUGACAUGUACGGAAGAACUCAGAGACGAGUUUGUGCCUUCGGGAGCCGUAACACAGGUGCUGCAUGGCUGUCGUCAGCUCGUGUCGUGAGAUGUUGGGUUAAGUCCCGCAACGAGCGCAACCCUUGUCAUUAGUUGCCAUCAUUUAGUUGGGCACUCUAAUGAGACUGCCGGCGACAAACCGGAGGAAGGUGGGGAUGACGUCAAGUCCUCAUGGCCCUUAUGACCAGGGCUUCACACGUCAUACAAUGGUCGGUACAGAGGGUAGCCAAGCCGCGAGGUGGAGCCAAUCCCAGAAAACCGAUCGUAGUCCGGAUUGCACUCUGCAACUCGAGUGCAUGAAGUCGGAAUCGCUAGUAAUCGCAGGUCAGCAUACUGCGGUGAAUACGUUCCCGGGUCUUGUACACACCGCCCGUCACACCAUGGGAGUGGGGGAUACCAGAAGUAGGUAGGGUAACCGCAAGGAGCCCGCU